UGAUGAUGGGGAGCGCAGUGCUACGGGUUUUUGUAAACAGUAGUAACGGUUGUGAUUUUUAUUGUUGGUACUUUCAAAACUCUUCAAUCCUGCAAGCUUCGCUAUCCUGGCUUAAUGUUUGAUUUGAUGUCCAUCAGUAAGGCCUUUAGCAUCGUUAAACCUGAAGAAUCUGUGAUGGAAUCCAUGCGACACCUUGCUUCCGAAAAGCG